ensembl:miRNA Mir2985 microRNA 2985
AUCGCCACACCUAAAGGAUCCUCAUUAAGGUGGGUGGAAUAGUAUAACAAUGUGCUCAAUGUUGUUAUAGUAUCCCACCUACCCUGAUGUGUCUUUAAGACUCUAACGGU